rfam:Oryza sativa Japonica Group DNA, chromosome 1, cultivar: Nipponbare, complete sequence.
AAUAAGUACAGUUUUAGCACUGUUCAUGUCUAACGUUUGACUGCUCGUUUUAUUUGAAAAAAAAAUAUUAUUAGUAUUUUUAUUAUUAUUACAUAAUAAAACAUUAGUACUUUAUGUGUUACUAAUUUUUUUUAAUUUUUUCAUAAAUUUUUCGAAUAAAACGAACUGUCGGAACGCUAAACACGGAUAUUUAUGGCUGUACUUAUU